UCCUUAAGUUAGCUUCAUGGUUAAGCUAAUUAGUGCAGAGAGGCUGCAAACUGCAAUCGUUUAUGGGUUCUGCAGGCCGUCGCCAGAGCCUUAAAGAAAAUACCUUGACAAGUUCUAAGGAUUCCACAGGUAUCUGACAAAACUCAUGCCAUCCGGAGGGCCGCUCGGUCUGCGACACGAUGG